AGGAAGCCAGAAGCCGCUGCUGUGGGUUAGCCUCAGGGAGUCGGGCUGUAUUUAAAAUCCCGGAUUCACUGCAGGAGGUGUUUGCCUGUGAGUCGAGCCUUUGACAGGAUGGUUUAUUAGGUUUGCAACUUAUGCUGGUCAGUAUGUUGCGAUUCAAAACUUACAAGUCGACUUACGGAAAUCUUCCAUGUGUAAAGUUCACAUUGACUCCAUUUUACUUUAAAAUAGCUCAGCAAAAAACUAUAUGGAAAUGCCACCAUUUCUUUAAGAUGAUUUCUGAAACCAGCCCAGUAUGCCCCCUCCCUCCCGCGCCUGCCCUGUGGUCGCGGCUGCUCAGGAGACAAAAGGACUUCAAAUCAAAGUCCAAGUGCAGAAAGAGUUGGGGAGCCUGGGAUGAAGGAAGCCUUGCGUACGAACACACUAUGGUAACCAACCCUGUUUCUCUGUAGUGAAAUAAACUGUGCCAUAGCUGCAGGUGGGGUGCUGUGGGGUGUCUUAGUGUAAACAUUGGAAUCCCUACAGUGUAGUUCAUGGGUCAGGGGACACAAAGGUGAUUUAAAAAUCAUAGAACAAAGUUAAAAGUCCAGCUUUCUGGCGUUUACAUGAGAAGAAUUCUCCACCGAAGAAUCUUUCCUUGUGUCCACAACCUCCAUCACCACCACCACACCUCCCCCCUCUCCCAGUGUCAACUCAAGCCAAGAGUCCUGGGUCGGCUAUAUAAUACGUGAGGGCCCAGACGUCCUGAGAAAUGACAGCAGCCAUGUGGUCGCUAGAGAGGCCCAGCUUCAGGCGCAGGGGGUCAGCUGCCCCAUCCUGUCCUGGAGAUCCAUCCACGUUCCCCAUUCCCGAGCUACCCCGCAAGCCGCAAGGUGGACACUCGCAGAUGCCCCGCGCGCGCACACACAGCGGCCAUUCCUAACAUCAUCUGAAUCUACUUUUCUCAAGCCUAGGUCAGCACAGCCGGUCCGAGUCAGUUUCUUCCCUCCAGACCCACCCCGCCGCCAGGCACAGUUCCUCAGACCUGCAGGGCUGCGCUGCACCCUGAACCAGACUCCAGGUCAGAGGUGCAACAGGAACAGAUCACUAUAAAUAUUCCCUGUCCCUUGAGGGAAAAUGAACUUGUGCAGACCGGACGCAGAAGUGCAGCAGGCGGAACCGCUGUAUGUGAUGUCACGGCGAGGGAGACUAAACUUCCCACAACUCUGUGCGAAGACAUUUCAGGAUAUCACAGUGGGUUUCAUUUGGUUUAACAGGAUUCCUCUACACUAUGGUGUUCAACUGACAAUAAGAAAUCAAGAAACACUUUACCAUAUCCUUUGUAACAGUGGAGCUUUUUCCAAUGUGACUACUCUUAUGUAGAGCUAAGGUUGAACAAACCUCAGAGCCGUGUGACAUUGUCUCAAGGAGGGAGGCUCUAAGGAUAACUAUGGCAUAAAGAAGAGUGGAAAACCUUGCCACGUUCUUUAUUUAGUGCAGUUUCUGUUGCUGUGAUAAGAGCCACGAUAAGUAACUACACAGGAGAGAAAGGGAAUGAUAUGGAUUGCACUUCAUCAUUCUUACAAGCCAGGGCAGAACACAGCUGAAAUCUAGGGCGGCAGGUAAAACAGAAACCAUGGUAGAAUGCUGUUUUCUGUUAUCAUCUCUCUGACUUGGCAUUAGUCAGCAAUCUCAUACACCUGGGACCACCUGUCCAGGAGUGGCACAUCCAAGGUGCACUGACAUCAUCUCGUGGUCUAGAUUCAUCUACGUCAGUUAGUAUUCAUGGCAAUGCCCCACAGGCAUGCCCAUGGGUCAAUGAGUUCCAGUCAUGUACCUACUUGAGAUAAUAUCACAUGUUGUUUAUCUGUGUAAACGUUAUCGGAAGCAAAAUAGGACAUAAGUAUCUGCAAAUCUUAUCAACAAAUAUUUUUGGUGGUGAUAAAGAUUAGAAAUAUUAUUGAAGACUAUUCUGCAUUAUUUGGGUGAAUCAAACUUUUCACUCUUAGGAUAUUUUGAAGAACACUUUUGGUGUGACAGCCAGGUGAAAGUCUUGCCACACUCUUAGCAUUUAUAGUGCACUUUACCAAUAUGAAUCUUCUUUUUUCCUUUUUUUGGUUUUUCGAGACAGGGUUUCUCUGCAGCUUUUUUAGAGCCUGUCCUGGAACUAGCUCUUGUAGACCAGGCUGGCCUCGAACUCACAGAGAUCCGCCUGCCUCUGCCUCCUGAGUGCUGGGAUUAAAGGCGUGCGCCACCACCGCCCGGCUACCAAUAUGAAUCUUAUGAUGUGAGUAGAGACAUGAAGACCAUCUAAACAACUGGUCAUAGGCUGUAUUUGCAGAGACUUAUGUGUGACUUCUGUGAUAUACAAUAAGGAAUGAAUAAUAAAUAAAACCUUCUGAACACUAGUCACAUUUGUGUCAUGGUUGCUCAGUAUGAGUGCUUUCCUUUUGUUUAAGGUUUGACAAACUUUUAAAGGCAUCUCAUGCUCUUCAUAGGUGCAAUGUUUCUCUCCAGGACAAAUUCUACUGAGGGCAGUGAUGAUGAAUGAUAACAUUCACUAUAUUCUGCAUAUGUGUUUGGCUGGCCUCCACAACUGAUUUUUUUGUGUGGGCAAGGUCUGAAUGAUUUCAAAGACCUUCCCACAUUUCCCACACAUAGGGGCUUCUAUUCAGAAUGAAAAUUUUUGAUAUCUUUUAUGAUAUCAAGAAGUAAAAAUAUUUUAUGAACAUUUUAAGACUUGUACUAUUUCACCUCAGUAUAAACUACCAUGUGUUGAGGAAUACUGGUCAGCUUACUAAGGGUUUAUAACAUUUCUCUCACUUGUGGCAUGAAUGUCCAGUAAGAAUUAUCAGGUGUUUCAAAAGCUCUUAGUGAGUACAGAAAUCUCAGCACGUUCUUCACACUUGUGUGCUGUCUCUCACAAAUGAAUUCUUCGAUGGUGCUUGAGACCAGAAGACUGGUAAUAGCUUUUACCACAAUCUUCACACUUGUAACGUUUCUCUCCAGUAUGAAUUAUCUGAUGUUUAGAACGUGCUGUAGAACUUCUAAAAUCCUUGCCACAUUCUUUACACCUGUAGGGUUUCUCUGCAGAAUGGAUUCUUUGAUGAUCCUUAAAGUUUUCCAUGUUGUUGAGCACUUUGCCACAUGCUGUACAUUUGUAAGGGUUCUCUGCAUUGUGAGAUAAUUUGUGCUGACAUAAGUAUGAUUUUGUAGAAGAGCCUUUUCCACAUUCUUCAUACUUGUGGGGUUACUCUCCAGAAUGUAUUAUCAAGUGAGUAGAAAGAAUCCGGGAAGUCCUAAAAGCUGCACCACACACUUCACACUUGUAGGGUUUCUCUCCUGUAUGAACUCUCUUGUGUUUAGAAAGCAAUGAUGGACAAUGGAAAUCCUUGGCACAUACUUCACACCUGUAGGGUUUUUCUCCAGUAUGAAUUCUCUUAUGCUUAGAAAGUAUUGAAGGAUAAUGGAAGGCCUUGCCACAUGCUUCACACUUGUAGGGUUUCUCUCCUGUGUGAAUUCUCUUGUGUUCAGAACCUCUGACUGGCAGAUUUCUGAGACAGCAUAGAUAGACAGAAGACAGAAAAUAGACAGGAGUCUGAACUUCAAUAGAUAGAACUGCUUAUUAUCUUGCACACUGAGGAGCAGUCUCAAUCCUGUGGGAAAUUGAGAGAUCUACCAUGGAAAAGAUGACUAUAACCCUUUAUAGGGAUGGAAUAAGGGACUAGGAAAUGAGGAAAAUGUUACAGCACGAAGCCCACCUUUCUCUCCACAGUUCUCUCCUUCAUCACAUUGCUUUCCAAAGUUGAGACAGGCUGACCAAACAGACAUUCUUUUCUAGGAUGACUGAGAAGGCUAAGCACUGUAUGAGACCAAGUCUCACGGAAAUCCUAUUUCACCUCCAAGUACAGCUGGUCAGUCCUGGUGAUCGGAGCUGGAAGUGCUUCUGAUACAGAUUAACAACAUUAACUGAGAAGUGGCCAUUAUUUUAAAUAUAGUUGGGAAAUCACUGAAAAUUCCAGUGGACACAACAAGGUGAUUUAAAGUCCAUAUUUCCAAGAUCAGACAUCAAUGUCACGAGCCAGUCUCCAGCACACUUGGUUUGACUGAAGAUGCCAAUAUAUGUAAGAGUCCAUGAAACAAGGCGAGGAACUGGGCAGGAAAAUGACCAGAAAGAAGCUGUGCCUGGUUGAGAGUGAAAAACUCUUGUGGAAUUUCAGUACUGUGGAGAGACUCACAUGUUGCAGGUUCAGAGAAGAAGUCCCUGCUUUGGGCUGGUUUUACCAUUCAGAAAUAGUCAUUCCUUGCAUCAGUCUGUGGUGGACCAAACAGUUUGUGACAAUAGAUGAAAGAAACUAUUGGAAUUCAGUGACUUGGCAGAAUUAAAUUAAAUUAAAUUAGCAGGCAUUAAACCAAAUGUCAAGAAUGUCACCCCGUCAUAGUACAUGACUCUAGAGUACCCACCAAUGCAUUUUAAAAUUGCCUUGACCAAUGGCAUUCUUUGUUCUGUAAACCCAUGAAACUGCUUCCACUUUGGAGCAUGGAAUCUGGGGUAACCUAAAUUUGUGUUCCCAGAGCAUGGUCACUCAAAUGGCUUCAGAUUAAACUACCUCUUUUUCCCUUUAAGAUGAGGGUUGAAGAUUUUUGUACUGACAAGAACCUACUAUGUGCAAAUCACAGGAACCUGAGUAAGCCACAGCCUUCCAAAGUCAUCUUUUAUUGUCUCUAGCUCAGCACAAAAACUUGGGUAAAUAUUUCUAGAACUGUUCAGGGAACAUCAGUGGACCUGGAUGUCACAUUCAGUGGCAGUUUGUUUAAGGGAGUUUAGACACUAUCGAUAAAGUCAAGAGAUAGAAGAAAAGCAUGUGACCAGAGGACAAUGUACAGAGUCUUCCAGGUCAGUAGGACCAUUUCUCCCCUCCCUUACACAGACGUUCAAGCCUCCUCCUGUCAAUCAUGAAUUCCGUUUCUCCCAUCACACCAAGUCCUCUCUCAUGUCUGAAAAGGAGUCUGAAAUGGAACUGGAUGCGGUAUUACUGUCAGUCUUUUUCACUCUGCACUGUGAAAUCCAUCAUUAUCUGGAUUCUGCAAAGAGAGGGUCAAACUAACUACAAGAUUAUUCUGCGGGUAUAUGGGAGUGUAAUGUGAUGAUUCCGGUCACAGGAGUGUAUAUAAGUGAUUCCUAUUCCUAUUUAUGGAGGCUUCCAUAAAUCUAACAAUUCAUUCCAAGGGAAAAGGAACUAACAUCUAUGCAGCAAUUGUCCUCACAGGACUCUUUGUCUCUGGAAACUGGGAACUUUAGGAACAUCUGCGGGAUCAAACCAAGAGUAAUAGGCCUGACAUAAAGUUUAACAGGCGCAAUUUGUCCAAGUAUUCAACAUGUCAUGUGAAAUCUGACUACAGCAUGCAAGCAACGGUCAGCUAGGGGCAUGCUACCCAGCCAAGCAGGAAAGUUAGCUCUACAGCUCCUCAAACAACAGCGGUCACAGACCCAGCCUGACUGCCAAUGCGAUCCUGUUCUUUCCAAACUUCAUUCCUUGGCUACUGAGCCCUCCAGACCCACAAGCACAGGUGGGCUCGGGCAGAAGGGGCGUCCUAGGAGACUGGACACUCACAGCACAUGACUUUGGCGUGGCGCCCUCUCCCCUCAAACCUGCACCCAGGUGCAGCGGCCCAGCCUAGGUCAGCACAGCACCUCCAGGUCAGCUUCUCCCGCCUCCCUGCUAAGCAGCCCAAGUUAGCAACCUCCAUGACGGACCCGACACCUUGCACAGUCCCUCAGAUCUGCAGGACGGCGCUGCACCCUGCACCAACCUCCAUGUCAGGGAUCCAAGCCCAGCGCUGAGCAGGAGGCUCGCCUAACUUUGGAGAGACGCUAAGUUUCAAGACUGAACGCGGAAGUUCUGUAUCCACAGCACCUUCUAGUGUCGUCAUAGUGGUCUGGACUACAUUUCCCAUAAGUCAGUGCGAAGGACUUCCGAUAUCCCCUCCCAGAAGGUGAUUUGUUCAGUGACUAGGUUCCUGCCUAGUUUUCUGUGGAUGAAGUUGUAAGGGAAGCAGCUUCAGCACAGGGACAUUCACGGUGGAUCAGGCUGUUUCAGUCCUGCAUUCUCAGCACCCGGUGUUAGCUUGUGAGCAGAGCCUUUUUCCAGUAAUGAUUUACCACGUUUCCUAGUUGUUUUCGCUAAUACCUGUGAGUUUAAAGCUCAGGUCUACUUAGUGUGGGAUCAACUACAGCAUGAAAACUCACAUUGGUCUGUUUUACUUAAAAAUAAGGAAGCAGGAAGCUAAUGUAGGACUAAGCAUCAUCUCUUCAAGAUGCUUUUUGAAAUCAUCCUUGGUAAUCCUGCCGCUCAUGCAGCGUCUCAGGUGCUUAAGACAGAAGAAUCAGAAAACAAGGUUAACAAGGACAAUGUAUAGACGCGUUUUAU